UACGUAGGGGGCUAGCGUUGUCCGGAAUCAUUGGGCGUAAAGCGCGUGUAGGCGGUCCGGUAAGUCCGCUGUGAAAGUCGGGGGCUCAACCCUCGGAUGCCGGUGGAUACUGUCGGGCUUGAGUACGGAAGAGGCGAGUGGAAUUCCUGGUGUAGCGGUGAAAUGCGCAGAUAUCAGGAGGAACACCGGUGGUGUAGACGGCUCACUGAACCGUAACUGACGCUGAGACACGAAAGCGUGGGUAGCAAACAGGA
rnacentral:rRNA from 1 species